CAUCACCCCCCUCACGGGUACCAGCCCGACCCCUUUCUACUCGAACUCCUCUCCCACUGCGACAGUCACCGGGUGCUUUAGAAGCAGCGAGCUCUCUUCUUGAAUCUCUGCCAAUGAAGGCUGAAAGUUUUACAAGCGCUCUGCUUGGACGGCAGGAAGCCGAAGUGAGGGAUCUGUAACAGCAGCACUCGCAACAGCGGCAUCUGUGUCGUGUCGAUUCUCUAAUCGAUUCUCGUCGACAAACACGAUCAGAUAUCCAUAAUGCUUUUUCUUGGGGGGAUUCACGAAGCAGAUGGGGAGAAAAUGUGAUGACGGUGGGAUAUAAAUCAGAAAAUAACAAAAGAAGGAAAAGGGGUCUUGUUGACGUCACGCUUUGGGCUGCCCAUCGCAAUGCCUGAACUGAGACGACAGGACUGUCUCUGUCUUCCUGUCGUUCUUCAUCACGCUUUGAAUCGAUCUUCGGCCAGGUGAUGUUGGAUUGUUACGUUCGACUACGCUGUGGACGGCGGUCUGACUGGAACCUGUCUUCUCUGGAACGUAGUCUUCUCUUGCGAUCUUAACCUUCUCAGUUUGUCUCUCUCAGAUCGUUUGUUCCCUUCAGUUCAGCAAGAUCUCUUUAAAAAAAGGAUUUGAAUAAAUAACUAGUCUUUAGGUUCCUUAUGUGAAUCUAAUAUACCCACAUCGCAAAUACCCAAAAGGUGGCACGCUACUGUGCAGGAAGUGUAAAUAUGGUCAAAUAUAAUGCAAACAGGCAACCACAGGACAGCUAAAGAUGCUGCGAUAAAUAGUUUCAAAGAGGAAUUGAGAUGCAUGGGCCAAAUGCCAAAUGCUGACACAAAAGAGCCUUGAACUUCACAGCCUUUAAGGACGCAUCUCAAAUCUCUGACAUUAUCUGGUAAAUCUGGCGACGCUGAUGGCGAUUGAGACCGUGAGUAGAGACAGAUGACAGUUGUGUAUAUAUAUUUGCUUUGUUCACGACUCUCGUCGAGCAACAACACGCUCUUGAAGGAUACGCUGUGAUUUGUUCAUUUCACUCCUUUUGGACGACUUCCAUUUCCCGCCCUCAGACCCGAGCCAGGUGACGGCAUUUAGCGUUUCUGCCAACACCCAAAGAGGUUUGAAACAUGGAAAAUUGACUAGAAACCUUACGACGAAACAAAAUGACUCAGUGAGAGACACUGAACCGAGCCGGGUGAGCUUAAAGAUAGCCUGGUGAAGUUAAUGCUUUGUUUACUUUUCUCAUGCUGUUGCGACCUCUCUCUCUCUCUUUUUCUCUCUCUCUCUCUCCGUGCCUGUUCUCUUGGCAGCAGGAGUAAAGUAGGCAGGCGUAUGAGGGCAUAGCUGAAUUUGCUGGCAGGGGGCUCAAGCUUCAGCUUUUGCGUGAAAAGGGUUCGUUGCGCACCUUUUUGUGCUUUAACCUUGUCUUGCACCACAUGAAAUGGUCUCGGUUUUCCUUCAUUUUUCCAGUGUUUCUGGAGUCUCGCACCUUGGAAGUCAUCCAUCAGGUAUAUCCAACAUUUAAUUCUGUUUAAAUCCUCAACUUUAUUUCUUUGUUUUGCUUUGGAAUGACAACGUUUUCUUCUUCGCUCCUCAUCCUCCUCUUCCUCGUGCAUGCACGUGUCUGCCGCCAUGCUUGUUACAAUCCGAUACGCUUCACUUUUAUCAAAUACAAUUUAUCAGGACAAAACUGCGCUGGAAUUGUUUGGAUGCCACAAGUUUUUGUUUGCAUUGUUUGUUUGUUUUGCACUCGUGGUCGUCGCUGGUUUUUAUAUGCAACUUCCUUGCACAAAUCACUCUUCGGAGGCUGUACAAACAUGCAGUUUUGACUAUAUAGUAACACUGUAUUGUUGUUAAGACCAUUAAAGGUAAAAUACACAAAAUGAGGUUUACCCAAGAGAAGAAAUAACUACAAUCUCAGUGGAAGCAUUGCAAAAAGCUUCAUAGUGGCUCUUUGUUAGUUUUUGGGUGACUGUUAAAUGGUUAACCACAGAUAGCUUUAUUCUUCCUCAUUAUUUGACAUGUUUAAAGAAACUAAACAGACUGAUACAUAAAUCGAUCAAUCAGUAUCUAUAUAUGGAUUUCGAAUAUGUGUUUAUCCAUUAUUAUUAGCUUACAUUAAUAAUAAACAUAGCAGAAUUUCUGCCGUGGACACAAUGAUAUCCCAGCAUGCUUUGUGUACCAAAACGUCUCUGAUCAUCCAUAGAGAGACUUUAUAUUAUGUUUCCUGAUAAAAGCCAUCUGCAUUAUCGUUAUUUAUCACAUUUAGAUAACAAACCAAUCUGUUAUCUGUACGAAAACAAACGAUAGACGAGAUCUGCAUGCAUUGCUGUGAAGCAAAAACAAAAUUGGAGGGAGAGAAAGCGACAAGACGGUGGGUGGGGUGAUACACAAAAAAAGGAAAAGAAAGAACGAAAAAAACUUCCUCAACUCCUCCCUCUCUAUCCUCAGAUGAACUCAUCACGUUACUUCAGUUUUUUCUGCCUUCUCUACUUCCUGCUAUUUUUGAACGCCCUCCCAUUCUCUCUCUUUCUCUCUCUCUCUCUUUCUUUCUGUGGUAACCAGGAACAAAGUCACAGAGCUUUUAUCGGGAAACGUAUUUCAGUCAUCACCUUCAAUUACAAAGCAGUAAGACCAUAAACAACAUCACAGUAUGGAAAACAACCCGAGACUCGGAUAUCCAGCUGUUGUUCGCCUGUGCCUGACACAAACCAGUCUGGAGUAACAAAGCAACUAAACUCCUGGUAUGUUUGUCGCUGUCCCUGAAGUUGAGGUAGUAGAUUGAAUAGUUGUGGAGUGUGAAAUCUCCCUUUGAGAUAACUAUACAAUCUACUGUCUUUCUGAAGGAGACAGAUUUAACAACUGUCCACCAAAGAAACGGACUACGUGCACGUACGCUUCUUCAACAAGACACAUCUGAAACUGUGUUACUGUGAAGUGAAACUGGAGGUCAGUGUGCAUCACAAGAUGAGGUAGUAGGUUGUAUAGUUGGACGGAUCGAAUCCUGUUCAGGUGAUAACUAUACAGUCUAUUGCCUUCCUUUGAGAGACACGAUGAGCAGCCAAAGAAAAAAGUUAACUUUCAAAAAAACACCAAAUGUAUUCAAAAAUUAUUCAUAAUUAUUAAAAUGACAUUGUUUCUGUGGUUGACACGGGCCUACUUUUUUUAGCGCUGUGUUUUAACAAAUAAAAUAUUUUUUCAUUCAUAAAGUGAGUCUGUCUUAUGCUGAUUUAUUAUUAAAACAGGGAUUUUGCAUAUCGAA